AUAUAUAUAUAUGUAUAUGUGUAUAUAUAUAUACACACACACACACACACACAAACACAUUAGUGUGAAUAACAGGUUUGUAGCAAUCGAGCUACAUAUUUGUUUAAUAGGUAAUUGAUUUUAUUAUAUAAUUUGAUCCUUCUUGUCUAGCUUUACAAUCGAACCAAAUGAAACCUUCUAAUAACACUAACAUAGAUCUUCACUGCUCACCUGGCUCAGAUGGAAUCUCAUAACAUAACAAAAAGCAUUUAAUUUCUCCAUUUAAUGAGGUUGGUGUGGAGGCAAUGUUAGCAUGGUAAAAGAAUAGCAUAAUCUUUCUGUUGAAUCAUUUAUAUGGGGCAUUGACUAACAGAUGUGUUUGGUAUUCCUGAAUGAAACUGGAUUAUUGCACCUGAAGUCUCAAAGACAUUUUAACACUUAAUUGAAAACCUCACGAAGGCUGUAGAGUAGAGUGCUAGAGUCCUCACCUUUUUGUUGGAAUUGCUAUGCAAGUAGGGUUGGAUAUGGUGUAUAGUUUUUGUAAUAUGGCAUUUUUAAUAUUGGUUUACAAUUGAUUUUGGUCACGUUAUUUAAAUCCGUAUAUUUGGCAAUUGUCGCAGAUGUUAACACUUCUACCAUACUGUACUGUACCGGUUAGGGUUCCAUCCACCAGACUUUCUUUUUGUUUGUUUUUGUUCCUUGUUGAUUUCCUUUUUUUUGUGUGUCAAACGAUGCAUCACUCUCUGGGAGAGCAGCUUAGCGAAACGUGUGUGUGCUUUUCGCUCCUUAUGUGAAUCGUCAAGACGUCCGGAGGUCUUAUAUAUUCGCUCCUUAUGUGAAUCGUCAAGAUGUCCAGAGGUCUUAUAUAUUCGCUCCUUAUGUGAAUCGUCAAGAUGUCCGGAGGUCUUAUAUAUUCGCUCCUUAUGUGAAUCGUCAAGACGUCCAGAGGUCUUAUAACUUUGUGGCUUCUGGAUGUUCUUCACCCCACCCUUUUCUAAAGAAUGUGAGGGAAAGACUGGUGGAGGGAAGAGGGGGGGGGGAUUUUGGAAUACAUUCAAGAGAAAUGCGAUUAAACUAAUGUACUAUUGUUUAUACUCUUAA